AUACGUAGGGGGCAAGCGUUAUCCGGAAUUAUUGGGCGUAAAGAGGGAGCAGGCGGCAGCAAGGGUCUGUGGUGAAAGCCUGAAGCUUAACUUCAGUAAGCCAUAGAAACCAGGCAGCUAGAGUGCAGGAGAGGAUCGUGGAAUUCCAUGUGUAGCGGUGAAAUGCGUAGAUAUAUGGAGGAACACCAGUGGCGAAGGCGACGAUCUGGCCUGCAACUGACGCUCAGUCCCGAAAGCGUGGGGAGCAAAUAGGAUUAGAUACCCUAGUAGUCCACGCCGUAAACGAUGAGUACUAAGUGUUGGAUGUCAAAGUUCAGUGCUGCAGUUAACGCAAUAAGUACUCCGCCUGAGUAGUACGUUCGCAAGAAUGAAACUCAAAGGAAUUGACGGGG
rnacentral:rRNA from 1 species